UGAGGACAAUAUUUCUUCGCGUAUUCAUAUUUUUUAGGAGUUUGCAACAUCAAAAGUUCGAAGCAAGGCAUUCGAUCAACAGGGCUCAGUCACUCAGUACUAUGCUUAGUACUUUUUUAAAUAUAUAUCGGGAAGUCUGGCUGGGAGAAUGGAAGAAAUUCAGACGCUCAAAUGACUUCUUUUACAAUAACGUGGAGAGGAAAGGAAACACACAAAAGAUGAUGCGAAUAGCAGUGUGUCAUAUGAAUCUCAAUUUUUUGAACAAGAAAAUGAAUUUGGGGAUUUGAAUGAACAAAGUGAAGAUAUUGCUGAAAAUUAUGACAAGCACCAAGAGUUAACCACCAAAACACAGGACUCUAAAGAUAUCUUUACCAAGCAAUCUAUCUCUAUUAUUACAGAAGAACCCAAACAACCAUGUCAACAUAGUCAAGUAGUUCUCACAUAUACAGUUAUACUUUAUACUGUUUACCACUAGUCAUGUUUUUAAUGUGUUAUAAAUUGACAAUAUGCUUGUUGAUUGCUUAUGCAUGAAACACUGUCUAGCAAAACUUUAUUAACAUCUGGUAGAAAUGUGCUCAACAAACAUAAAAAUAUAUUACAAUAGAUAUUUUUGAAACAGUGAACAUUAA